rnacentral:rRNA from 1 species
UACGUAGGAUGCAAGCGUGGUCCGGAAUUAUUGGGCGUAAAGAGCGCGCAGGCGGUAUGACAAGUCAGAUGUGAAAGAGGCCGGCUUAACCGGCAAGGGUCAUUUGAAACUGUCAGACUAGAGUGCAGCAGAGGAUAGUGGAAUUCCCGGUGUAGUGGUGAAAUGCGUAGAUAUCGGGAGGAACACCAGUGGCGAAGGCGACUAUCUGGGCUGCAACUGACGCUGAGGCGCGAAGGCUAGGGUAGCAGACAGG